rnacentral:rRNA from 1 species
UACGUAGGGCGCAAGCGUUUGUCCGGAAUUAUUGGGCGUAAAGAGCUCGUAGGUGGCUUGUCACGUCGGGUGUGAAAGCUUGGGGCUUAACUCCAGGUCUGCAUUUGAUACGGGCUGGCUAGAGGUAGGUAGGGGAGAACGGAAUUCCUGGUGUAGCGGUGAAAUGCGCAGAUAUCAGGAGGAACACCGGUGGCGAAGGCGGUUCUCUGGGCCUUACCUGACGCUGAGGAGCGAAAGCGUGGGGAGCGAACAGG